UGUUGGGUUAGUCCCGUACGAGNGCAACCCUUGUCCUUAUUUGCCAGCGCGUAAUGGCGGGAACUCUAAGGAGACUGCCGGUGACAAACCGGAGGAAGGUGGGGACGACGUCAAGUCAUCAUGGCCCUUACGAGUAGGGCUACACACGUGCUACAAUGGCCGGUACAAAGGGUUGCGAGCUCGCGAGAGUCAGCUAAUCCCGAAAAGCCGGUCUCAGUCCGGAUCGGAGUCUGCAACUCGACUCCGUGAAGUCGGAAUCGCUAGUAAUCGUGAAUCAGAAUGUCACGGUGAAUACGUUCCCGGGCCUUGUACACACCGCCCGUCACACCAUGGGAGUGGACUGCACCAGAAGUGGUUAGCCUAACGCAAGAGGGCGAUCACCACGGUGUGGUUCAUGACUGGGGUGAAGUCGUAACAAGGUAGCCGUAGGGGAACCUGCGGCUGGAUCA
rnacentral:rRNA from 1 species